UGGGGGAUAUUGCACAAUGGGCGAAAGCCUGAUGCAGCGACGCCGCGUGGGGGAUGAAGGCUUUCGGGUUGUAAACCUCUUUCGCUAUCGAACAAGGCCCGCUUAGGGUGGGUUGAGGGUAGGUGGAGAAGAAGCGCCGGCUAACUACGUGCCAGCAGCCGCGGUAAUACGUAGGGCGCGAGCGUUGUCCGGACUUAUUGGGCGUAAAGGGCUUGUAGGCGGCUUGUUGCUCCUGCUGUGAAAACGCGGGGCUUAACUUCGCGCGUGCAGGGGGAACGGGCAGGCUUGAGUGUGGUAGGGGUGACUGGAAUUCCAGGUGUAGCGGUGGAAUGCGCAGAUAUCUGGAGGAACACCGAUGGCGAAGGCAGGUCACUGGGCCAUUACUGACGCUGAGGAGCGAAAGCAUGGGUAGCGAACAGG
rnacentral:rRNA from 1 species